rnacentral:rRNA from 1 species
GUCCACGCCCUAAACGAUGCGAACUGGACGUUGGGAGCAAUUAGGCUCUCAGUGUCGAAGCUAACGCGUUAAGUUCGCCGCCUGGGGAGUACGGUCGCAAGACUGAAACUCAAAGGAAUUGACGGGGCCGCACAAGCGGUGGAGUAUGUGGUUUAAUUCGAUGCAACGCGAAGAACCUUACCUGGCCUUGACAUCCACGGAAGUCUGCAGAGAUGCGGAUGUGCCUUCGGGAACCGUGAGACAGGUGCUGCAUGGCUAUCGU